AUAACUACGCGGUCUUUCGAGUAGUCCUCCUGUGGGCUCCAUGCCAAAAUCUUUCCCACCUUUUCAGCAUCCAAGUAACCAACUUUUAGAAGAAAACGGUUUCCAACAGCAGAAGUACGUGAAAUAUCAUAAACAAUGCUUGAAUGAUCGAAAGAAACUUGGAAUCGGUUGCAGUGAGAAAAUUGGAGGCUCCUGGAGUCGUUGAUGAUCAUUGAUUUGGCUGUGGUUACUGUUCUAAGGUCGUAUAAUGAGACUGGUGAUGAUGUUAUUGUUAAAUAAGCAUUGGAUGCAGCUGAUGAGUUUCAACAGGGACGAAUUCUAUUGGGCGGAAGGGAUGAGCUCGGCGGUGGUACAUGGUUGGGCUCCACCAGGGAUGGAAGGGUGGCUUUCCUCACCAAUUUCAGGGAAGUUGAAAGGCUUUCCAAAAUCCUUUUUGUAUAUACAAAAAAGGUGUUUAUUGCAAUUGUUUCCUUGGUUGCAAACUAAUAGUGCUAUAUGAUCAAUGAAUAAACAAAUGAUUUGAUUAUACAUACAGUGAUAACUACGCAGAAUCCACUUUCUAGAGACAGCUUUCUGAUGAAUGGUUAUGCUCUAAAUACUGGCCGUGCAGCUCAAGGAAUGCCUCUAAACAGCUGGAUUUGUAAUCACCAUUUGAAAUUGUAUCCAGAAGAGGAAUCUGGUCCUCAGUCAACAAAGAAACCUGUUGUUGUUGAAUCUUACGAUGAGAUUGUAUUUUCUGAACCGUCUGAGGCUUUUCUGGCGCAUGUGCAGAAUCAUCCUGUUGUUGUUGUGCCUAGGCUUCCUGCUGGUUUGACUUUGCCUAGCCCAUUACCAAUUGAAACUGGGAAUGGAAAGGAGAGAGGUAUACUUUAUUUUGGAUAAUGCUACUACUUAGCAAGCAUUCAGCUACUAUGUGGAGUCAGGAGAUGUCAAAAUUAACUUUCAAUAUGGAGUUUGAUGCUGCCAAUGCAACUUAGUUAUCUAUUAAUAUUUUAGAUUAUUCUAUCUUUAAGUGCUAAGUGUAAUUUGUGACAUUCAUGUAACAUUGGGAUGGUCAUCUUAUUUAUUUUUGGUAUUUUUUUAUUAAGACAAUGAGAUAUUGGCCAAUGAUGUUGAAAAAUAACAUCCAAUUUUAUAGGUAUCAUGUAAUGAAUAUUAUGUUUAUUUAUGUGAUUUUUGGCUUUCUUUUUUCAA